GUGUAACAUUUUUCUAGCAAAACCCGCGUUAAACGGUAUUUGAACGUUGCUCGACAGCAGCAGCCCGAGCUCCCUGCAGGGCUGGUUUGCGACGGACCCCCGGUAGGAGCAAAGUGAGGAGGAACAGCGCAGGUUUAUACUGAAAGUGAAAUUUGGGUUAGAAAACACGUUUCCUGGAAGGGUGAAAGCUGCUCGUUGUCCGCCGUGCCACAACACCCGUUUAAUACACCGCGUCGGGGGAAGAAUGAGCCCUCGAAUUUAAUCCUUUGUUUCACACGUUUCAGCCGAACCACGGCCGGAUCCGCAGAGGGGGUUCGCCCUGGCUGGAUCCAGUGGAUUGCAGUUAAUAUGGCCUCCCCGCGCCUGCUGCCGGCUACCGAGGCAGCGGUUACCGCUGCGGCGCUUGGAGAGACUUAAAAACAAAAGCGUUCGCCUGUUGCCGGGGCCGAAGGGAUGGACCAAAAGCUGCCAGCUUUUCGGCGACGGCCUCAUCGGCGAGCGCUGUAAAACCUCUUCCGCGUGCAGGGCUCGCCGUGCCGCAGAUUCUCCUCUUCUUUUUUUUUUUUUUAACAAAACGCCGCUUACCUUGCGACGCACGGGAAUCGCCAGGAUAUCCCCGACAGCUGUCCGGCAGCGUUUUCAGGGAACUGCUCUGUCCUUACGCCGCUUACGCCCCUGCGUCGAAGCAGAAUGGCUGUAACUGCAGGUGGGAUAUUUUAGUCCCCUUUUCUUUUGCGUUGGUGCAGUAAUUUCUGCCUCUCCCCGGGACAGAAACGCCGUCCUUUCCUCAGCAAGUGGGACACCCUUGCGAGGGGAGGAACCGUGAAAGCCCUUGAGCCACGAGGGUCCCUCUACGCCCCGUGUUUCCGAGGCUGCUUGCCGCAGAGCCGGUGUCGGUGGUGUCCUCCCGGAGCCGGCGGAGCGGCGGGGAGCCUCUUCCUACGGCUCGGCCCCGCGGUCGGGAUGGGCAGGAGCUCCCACAGGCAGAUUUCUGCCGCCACGGGCUCCGCGCCGAGGUGCAGCCCGUUUGGGGAGAUUGGAGGGGCGCUGCCGUGCCAGCGGCGUUCCUGGGCUCACCGGAGGAGCCGGAAUAAAGGCCAGUUGGCUCAAACAACCCGGGAAAGACCGAGGCGGUGGUAGGGAGAGAAGGGAUGUGCUUCAAAGGUUUGGCAGGCGCGGCUGCCUUGCCCGCCAGGGAGGUGCUUACUUACCCUCAACUAGUUAAGACAGCGCGCUGCCUUCAUGUCAGGAGGGACUAAUUGCUGCCUUUUGAUAUCACAUCACAGCCAGCGCUGCGGCACCUUUAUCUCUGGCGAUCUCUAAGAUUUUAUUUGUUCCUCUCAAACAGUUGAGCCGCAGUCCAGCGCGGCUCUUCUGGACCGGCUCCGAGCCCGGCUCCAGGCAGAGCUCGCAGGGAGGCUCAGGCGGGCGAGCUCUCCCCUUGGCCGGGGAGGCGAAGCGCGGACGAGCUCUCUGGCCGUUACUGAUCCACUCAGAGGUCUCAAAGGUCCCCGAGUGCCGUCGGUCCGUGUCUGCCAGGAGGCUCGGACGCGGGAGCUGGAGCGAGCCUUUGCGAGGAGACGUGCCGUUCCUAAACGCCUCCUGACGCGGGGAUCGGGGGUAACCUGGUUCGUAUGAAGACUCGUCUUCAUUGAAACAGAACAGAAUAAAGGAGGAAGAGUUGGUGGAGUCAAAGCAGGUCGGGGAGUUGAUCGUUGCGGUGCUGAGAACUACACUUCAUGGUACCCCGCCGGGGUUAGUGCCGUCGGACACGCGCCUGCGGUCGUCCUGCCCCGGGAGAAAACGAAGAUCACGGGCAGCGCGGAUAUGGGGAGGGAGUCGCUCGUUUGGGCAGAGAAAUCGCUGGCAAGAAGCGCCCGGGAUGAACGAGGAGGACUCGGGGUUCGGCGCUGCUCUUCCCAGCCAGCGAGAUCCUGAUUAACUCGUUACCUCUCGCUGUG